GGAAGUAGAGGAGGAUUCCAACUAGACAGAAAAUACAUGAGCAGCUACAUCUCCUACUAUGACUGAAAUGAAGGGCUCAGUGCAGGAUUUAGUCAGGAGAAUUCCUAAUUAAAGGGAACUGGACAAGACAACCACACGUACAGAUUCCUGACUGCCAACCACGGGCACAUCCACUGACUGUACUGAGAGCUGAAAAACAAAGUCUGUAAGUCACAAAAUUAUUUGAACUGGAAGCAACCUUAAAGCUCAUCCAGUUCCAUGGGCAGGAAGAAGUCCCCAGAGGCCCUACAUUUUGAGAAACGCUGGACUCAAUUUUCGACGUACAAAAUCAGACAGCUAAAAGAUUAGCCAGCUGUGAAAUGCCUCAACAGCAUCCCCCUGCCUAUCUAAAAAAAUGCCCCUCAGACUGCUGAGGAUGGAUUUCCUCCCUUGACACCGAAUAUUAAGCAAAUGUAAUAUAAUCAGAGCCAUCCCUGUUAUUGUGGCCCAGCAUUUCUGUGAACAAGGACAGGUAACUUACAUUACAAGGCCCAGAAGAUGUGCAUUUGGGCAAGGAACACUGGCAAUAUUGGCCCUUAUGGAUCACAUAUCAUCAGGCUUCACCCAACAACCUUCAGUUCUUGUGGUUUUCAGGUUUGUUUUGCUCUAACCUCCAGAAGCCAUUACAGUGGAAACCAGAGCUGAUCCAUUGCUACUGUAGGGGACCAUUCAACUUGAAAUAAAAGAUUGCCCAAUUUCUAUCUGCUCUCUACAUCCAUGCCCAAGUGGAGUGAU